rfam:Ipomoea nil DNA, scaffold: scaffold0268, cultivar: Tokyo-kokei standard.
GACUCCAUGGCCCAAUGGAUAAGGUGCUAGUCUACGAAACCAGAGAUUUUGGGUUCGAUCCCUAGUGGAGUCG